GACGAACGCUGGCGGCGUGCUUAACACAUGCAAGUCGAACGGAAAGGCCCUGCUUUUGUGGGGUGCUCGAGUGGCGAACGGGUGAGUAACACGUGAGUAACCUGCCCUUGACUUUGGGAUAACUUCAGGAAACUGGGGCUAAUACCGGAUAGGAGCUCCUGCUGCAUGGUGGGGGUUGGAAAGUUUCGGCGGUUGGGGAUGGACUCGCGGCUUAUCAGCUUGUUGGUGGGGUAGUGGCUUACCAAGGCUUUGACGGGUAGCCGGCCUGAGAGGGUGACCGGCCACAUUGGGACUGAGAUACGGCCCAGACUCCUACGGGAGGCAGCAGUGGGGAAUAUUGCACAAUGGGCGGAGGCCUGAUGCAGCAACGCCGCGUGCGGGAUGACGGCCUUCGGGUUGUAAACCGUUUUCGCCUGUGACGAAGCGUGAGUGACGGUAAUGGGUAAAGAAGCACCGGCUAACUACGUG
rnacentral:rRNA from 1 species